ensembl:miRNA
GCUUUGACGAUGUUGCACUACUGUAUCAUCGCUGAAGCAGUGCAAUAGUAUUGUCAUAGC